UACGCCUAUCUACUUGCCCUUUCAAAUGAGGACAUGAGGCAGGGAGUUGUUUGGCAGUAUUUACAAAGCUGCAGUGGAAUUAAGCACCGAGCCCAGGUGCUUGGCCAUAGAGCAGAGACUCAUUCACUGCCUCAGUUUCCCUGCUAGGGCGGCAGCCUAUGGACUGAUCAAGCUUUUGUCUGGACAAGGAGCCUGGGGAAAUAAUCCCCAGAGUGCCCGGCACUGGCCUGCUUUCAGCUGCGGAGAGGAGCAGGUAGGAGGAGGGGUGCCAGGGGGAGGGUGCCGCUCUCAGUCAGCACUUGGCACCAGCAAAAGUUGAGUCACUGAGGAUUUCCUGCACAGCCACCGAAGAAUAACGUGGAAGAGACGUUUUCUGAAUCUAUUUUGAAUGUGGGGAAGGAGGUCCUCUGCUCAGAAGCGCUUGGCAUCGCAUGCUUGGAUCUUGAACUCUGAUCUCUGAAUUAUUAUCUAGAUGACUUGAAUCUAGUCUGUCAUCCCCCUGCCUCUGCAUGUUUCCCCGUGGUGUGGAGGUGAACAUUCUCUGACGGGAGAGUGCAGUGGGUUCGUUACAGCAGGAUGAACUCACAGUCACAUCUGGGCACACAGAGAACACAGAAUGAAUGCUUUCCCGGACGACUUCAAGGCAACAAUGGUUAUUCUCGAUAUGAUACACUGUGAUCUUUUUAAAAUAGGAGUAAAGUCAUCAAGCAGCUUACACGUUUAUUCAGAAGGAACAUAUUGAGGUCGUGUUGAAGCCUGUGCUGGCACGGUGGGUGUUGUGAGGAAAACAGAGGCUCUCAGGAACGUGAUGUUGUCCAGAAGAGAGAGGUGGAGAGGGGGCCUCAACAUAAAUCAGCACAGACUCUGGCUACGAAGCUGUGCGAGAAGAAGCUAGACCCCAUCGCUUCAGAGGCCCCUGUUGUCUCUGUCACUCCUCAGCUGUGGCACUGCUGGCUCACCCACCGUGUGCAGCCAGCAUGGCCGGCAGGUGAAGGGGUCAGGCCGGAGCCUCCAUCUGCCCGUGUCCUUAGCCCAGGCCUUUCUAUUGCACCUCCAUAAUUUCAGCCUGUGGAGUUUGUGGCCUUUGGUUUGGAUGUUGGAAGUUUCCAAGAAUGGUUAUAAUCAAGGAGGGGCGGAAAUAGGAAAAAUUGUGAAGAGAUGUUUAGAAAAUGGGAGGGAGAAAGUCCUCAAAGGAAACCCAGAUAAUUUGGGGUGAAGAUUAGAGAGCUAAGAUUGAGAGAAGAUGGGGGUCACAUGGAGGCUUUCUCAUGAACACGGUGUUCGGGGGUGCCAUGGGAGCACCAGGCAGAGAGGAGCACCAGUGUCCUCCAAGACUCAGAAGGAGGGUUCUGCUCAGUGUCCCCCACCUACCCAGGCAGGGGAGGGGCAGAAAGGCAUCUGCAUAUCCCAACCCAAGGUAAACAGAGAGCCAGAGAGCCCAUUAAAGCAGAAACAGAUGAGGAUAAUUAGAAGGGAAUGCUCCCAAGGCUAGGAGGAGGCAGUGAGACUCAAACAAAGGGCGGGCUAUUUCUGUCCAUCUCUUGAUGUCUGGAAAUGCAGUCGUUUUGGUCCAGACCAGGCUACCACACCCUGAGUAAGACAAACUUUCUCAUCACUGGCCCUUGCUUGGUCCCUAUGGCAUCUCCUGGGUUCUGUUCACAGUGCCCCAAACAGAUGCUCAGGAGAACAGCUCCAGUUGCAAGUUCUGCAAAGGCCUCAGACGGGAUUUCACCUUGACAACUUACCCUCCUGCAGGAGCUUGUUCCUGCCUCCGGAUUCACCUUUAUAGUCCAGCAGUGCCAGGUCUCCUUAGUGACCUCAACCAGAAAAGAUCCCCAGAAGAUGGGCACAGGCAUGCACACCUCUCAUUCCAGCUCCCGGGAGGCUGAGGCAGCUCACAAGCAGCCUGGGCUACAUAGAGAGGUAAUGCCAGCCUGAGAUACAUAGAGAGGUAAAGCCAGCCUGAACUACAGAGUAAGACUCUCUCUCGAUAGCUAAUAAUAAAAACUAGCUCAGAUUUUCUCAAAGAAAUGCCUCCUUUGCCAGUUGCCCGUGUCUGCCUUAUCUUUCCCUUCUCUUUCAGCCUGUCAGGUGAGUUGGUUUGUACUGAAGGGACAUGUCUCCACUGUGGAAGGGAAAGGACAUCCAGCAGAACCCAGGGGCCCUCUCAGCCAGUGUCCUGCAGCUGACAGGGCUACGUUCCUCAGCACCGACUGAGGAGGAAGUCAACUGCAUCCUUCAUGAGAGAGGAAAGGGCCAGAAAAAGUAGGGAGCCCAAAAACCUUCCAAAAAGAGGGAUGAAAAGGCAAGAAAAAUAACCUUUGUCUUUCUUUGUUUUGGGGUUUGGAGAAGUUGGUCUUAAGGAAUUGCACCUAAAGUGUUCGAAUGAAAAAGGUGGUGGCCAUUAAAGCAGACAGUUCUGCCCAUCUUUUGGAUUCACCUGGGUCUGUGGUCCUUUGACCUUCGGGAUGUGAUUUCAUGAGCCGUGACUGAGAAGUGACAAUUGCCAAAUUUGGCUUUACAUGAAGGCCCUCAUCAAAUGGAACUUUCCCUAUGUAGCUCCAAAGCCUUGACGUGAUGCUGCUGUAAACCGCUGACAUGUUCUCACAGAGUUUGGCAUCCUUCCUUCAGAUGAGUCCCAGCGCCAGGGCACUGCAGGUCGUGACCGAGGCUCUCUUGGCUGUGCUGCCUGUUGGAAACUUCUUGGGUGUUCGAUCCGGCUUGGAGCAAAGGUGCUACAAAUUUCUACACGGUGUUUGCUCAGUGUUUACCCAGGGCUCUGGAAGAGUAAGUCAUAGUCAUGGGCCAAAGGAAGGGACAUAUGCUGCAACCCGACAAUACGUUGUCCUUUUCAACUUCUUUCCGUAUCUUGCUGUGCCACACUGCCCUGGGCAAGCGCUGGAAGCUGCCCUAAGCCUUCUUCCACUUGUAAGGAAAGGCAAUGGUGACGCCUUGCUCGUCUCACUGAGAAGGAACAGACCAUGGCACUCAGUCAGGAGCUCCACAUGAUGGAUGCCCCAUCGCAACUCUGCUCUAGUAGUUAGUUCUGAGACAAACGAAGGAGACACCAUCAGCCAUCUCUUUUUUCUACCGUAGGAAGGAGCAAUGAGGGGGUAGUCUCAUGCAACCCAGGCUGGCCUCCAGCUCACCAUGUCGCCAAGGCUGGCCUUGAGCUCCUGUUCCUCGGCUUUUGUCUCCUGAACACUGGGAUUGCAGGCGUUAGGUUCUGUACCCAGCAGAAAUAAUGGAGGGAAUUUCCUUUGUUGUUAUUUUAUUUUAUUUAGUUUUGGUGUGUUAAGACAGGGUCUUGUGUAGCCCAGGCUGUCCUAUGACUCAUGCAUCCUUAACCCCUGCUCCUCCUGCUUCAGGCGCCUGCGUCAUGCCCAGCCUUAACGGAAGAGGCUCAGCAGGCACCCGAGGCUAGAUUUCACUGUCUCUUCUUAGCCACCCCUUGUUCUAUUCUUUCUGGAUGCAAGUACUGUGGAGACUAGAAGAAUGAGGUUGGAAGCCACCAGUCAUCCAUUCUGCCUCUGCACCCUGUUGUGCCUCCUACACACACCCUUCAACUUUGACCUAUGGCCUCUGCCUCUGGCAUUGACAAAUAACAUGCUUUAUGGAAACUUUUACUCUUUAUUUAUAUCUUGAUAUUAGCAGGUUUGGACUUCUAAGCACAAGAGGUGGGAAACUCUCUCCCCUGUCCUUCUCCUCCCCCUCUUGCCCUUGCUAUCUCUCUUCUCUCCCUCCCUCCUUUCUUCUCACCCCUCUUCUCUUCCUCUCCUCCCUUAUUCUCUCUCCCUCCUUCCCUACCCUCUCCUCUCUCUCUCCUUCUUUUUCUAUCCUUCCCUUCCUCUCCUAUUCUUCCUCUCUCUUCCUCUCUCUCCCUUCCUCCCUCCUCACUCCCCCUUCUCAUUUCCCCAGGGAAUUGCUUUCUUUUUAGAGUUUCCCAGACUCUUCUGAACGUUAUGAUAUACUGUGAUUACGUUUCCUUCGUUGCACAACUUUUGGGUUUUGCUAAGGAGGAACACAUGGUUUUGGUUUGGUGGGCCUCUCACAGAUGAGGGGUCACAGACGGCACGAGCUUAUUUCUCACAGUUCUGGAGGUUGCAAGGUCCAGAUGUGAGUUCCUCAGACAAGGGCAUCUUCUGAGCGGUCAGCUCCUGUCUGCCCCUGGGCAUCCUUUGAGUUGGGGACACUUACCUCACUCACGGAGGCGUCACGAAGGAGCCCUGAGCGUGCAUGAUCUGGUGUGCGGUCCCCGCUCACUCACUGUUGACUUUCCCAGCUUCCUUCCCCCACACUCACCUGUAGUUCAAACAUACUAACCUAAAAUUUCGGCAACAAGCAAGUGUGCCUUUGAGAUUGUAAAGCCUUCUGAGGGGCAUGAGGAAGGCUCCCGUGGCCCUGCUGAGUCGCAGAUGUGACUCACACUCAGUUCAUGCUUGCUGAGUUACCCACGCAUCACUCAGAGUCAUGUGACACCCAGACCAGAUCCGCUACAAUGACGAAGCAGUGCUGUGCUCGGACACGUGGCAUUCCUGGUCGUGCAGUGUGCCCCUAGGAAGGUGUGAGGUAUGCACAGGGCAGGGAAGGGUGAGUGUUCAGAGCGCACGGGCUCCCCUGGGGACCAACAUCUCACCCACGAGCUUUCUGCCAGCGUGGUCCCAGCCACGUGAGCUGCUGGGAUGGCGAAGGGCAGAAGGGACCUUCCUGGAGAGGGCACUCUGUCACGGGGGCACUCUUUGUCACGGCUGGCACAUUGGUGUCACCAUGUACCGUGAGGCUGUGGGCUGGGCUACCCCACAUUUCACAGGACUCUGAAGCCUCCUGUGGUGCCCCUUGGGGGCUGGAACUGAGACCUCAUACCACUGUGGCCGUAUUUCAUCCUCUCUCUAGAGGCCUUGCUAGUCAGGCCUGAGAGUCCAUCAUGGCCUCCCUGGCUCUGGGUCGUUUUUAUCCAUAGUGACUGAAAUCUGCAUCUGUAAAAGAAAAAGUCGUAUCUUCUUUAUGGGAACUUUUCUUUAUUGUUGGGCAUUUUCUGCAAUUUCUGGGGCUUCUUUGGACUUGUCUAUUACUGAGGCUGAACCUCUGUGCUUCACCCAGCGUCCUUAUUUCCCACCACUCUGUCUUUCUGUACUAUUAAGUUAUGUAACUUCUACUAAAAUGUUAAUUUAUUCUAUUCAUGUAUUUCUCUUCUGUCUGGAUGAACUCUUUCUUUUGGGUUUGUUUUGACUCUCACUGUUCUGCUGAGACUUCCCUUCAGCUGCAUCUCCUCAUGGCCACAGUCUUAUGGAAGUGCAGUAUGUUUGCAAGCAGUGAAUGUGUAAAUAUAUUAGAAAGCCCUCAUGUGAAGGAUGGGGACGCAGCUCAGAAUGAAGGCCUAUAUUUUUGUCUCUAUCCCUGGCAUCCCUGGCUUCCUUCAGUCUAAGCGUCUGUCUUUUCUGUAAUUAAUAGUCUAGUCUUACCCAAGCUUUAAGAGAGCUGGUCACCGGAUGCCGUGACUACAGAGGAGCCAGGAACAUGCGUCUCCUAAAGGGAUUUUGACUGAGAUUGACCAGCCCCAUCCUUCCCUCCCUGUGCCCUCUAUCUCUUGAGAUAAGUUCUGAGUGUACAGCCCAGGCUGGCUUCACGCCUGUGAUAAUCCUCCUGUCUCUGCCUCCUGAUUGCAGGACUGCAGUGGUGGCCACCACGUCUGCUGUGAUCUGCACCAUCUUACUUUCUCAUCAACUGUUUGCACACAGCUUCCUCUAAAGCAGGGUUCUCAACCUGUGGGUUGGUCCCCUUGGGAGGCAAAUGCCUCUUUCACAGGGAUCGCCUUAGACGGUCGGAAAACACAGAUACGCUCAUCAUGAUUCAUAACAGCAGCAAAAUUAGUUAUGAAGUAGCAACAAACUUAUGGUUGGCGUCCUCACAACAUGAGGAACAGUGUUAAAGGGUCUCAGUGAGAGGAGGGUCAGAACCCUGCUCUAAAGGAUGCCGUGUCUCUAAUUCCAGUUUGUUUGUUUGUUUUCCUCUUUGGUUCUGCAGUGUACUAGUUUUUUCUCUGUUCCUAUGAUAAAAUACCAAAGCCAAAAGCAACUUAGAGGAGAAAGGGUUUAUUUGGCUCAUGCUUGUGGAAGAAUAGAGUCUACCGUGGCAGCUCAGGGAAGCACCAUCCUCACCCACAUGCGGGAGGCAGAGGGAGCAAGCGGGAACUGUGGUGAGGCUAUAAGUGCUCAAAGCCCACCCCAGUGGUGGUGUACCUCUGUCAACAAGGCUUUUCCCCUGAAAGGUCCUACAACCUCCACAAACAGUGGUACCAGCCUGGGACCAAGUUAAGAUCCAUGAGCCUGUGGAAGAACAGGGCUCUUUCAAACCCAUGCGGGGCGUGGCUAGAUUGCCUGCUUACACGGCUGUCUGCAGCCAUUUGGGUUGUCUUUCCCUAUUGCCAGUGACAUAGCAUACUUGUUUCCUUUUUAAAUGUGACAGCUGUUUCUUGGUCCCCUCUUACAGUUUACGUUCCAGGGGAUGAGGCACUAUGAGUAAUAACAUGACAUGAAUACGUGAGGAGGAUGACUUAGGAUUUUCCCACCAGGAAGGUUGGUGGGAGGGCGCCACUGCGACUUGAGAGAGAAUGAGCAUUUAUACAACAGUCCAUCAGAACUGGUUGGGGGAUGCACAGAGCCUGUAUCCCAGAGCGAGGGCAUCCGCGCAGAAAGAACAGAGAUCAUGAACACGACAUCAGCUUGCAUCUGGGCUGGAGGCAGGUGAGCCAGAGGACGGAGCUGGCAGCGGUUUGCAUAGGGUCUGAGGGGCCAUGACAAGGACAGGAAGUUUUCACAUGAGACAGCAGGAAGAGGUAUGGUCGGCUGACUCUCCUCAGCUGCUCGUCUUGCUCUUGCUCUUGCUUGUGGUCCUUGUGGGCUUUGAUCCCGUCACGGUAAUGUUGGUCGGUUUUGGAUAUGAUGUGCAGAUAAAACCAAUAAUCAAAUUAGCUGCACCUGAGCGGGCAUUUCAGCCUGCUUCUGUCGAGGUCUCUCUGGAGAGGAGGGCAGAACCCCUCCUCUUCGUGAACCGGGCGUCCAGCAGGCUAGAUGGGCAGUGCAGCGCUGGCUUAUGUCCCUGCCCUUUAGCCUUUCAAGCACUUGAGUGAGCAGAGAGAGUUGAUCUGAGCAGGAAGUGUGGAUCACCACACCGGGUCUAAGUACUGACCUUCCCACCGUGGGUCUUGACAGUCCUUCCGCUCUCCGCGGCCCAGUCACGCACCGAGUCUUAGGCCUUGUAUCUUAUUGCUUUAUUGCCUUAUGUGUAGGGCGCAUCAGGCUGAUUAAACAAAGCUCUAUAGGCUGGGUCAGUUACAAGUGCAGUUCAUUUCUAGAGUUCUAAAGUCCAAGACCGAGGUGUCUGUGGACUGGGAGCCUGCAGCGCCUGCGAAUCCUGGCCAGAGCUGAGCCUCCCACUCCUUCUUUACAGGGUAGAGGAGGGCGGGGCACCACGCUCACAGUAGUGUUCGUGAGUGUUCUGACCUCACGGUCCAGUUCUGUGCUAAAGGCCACGUUCAAGUACCAUCCUUUUCAUGUUCUCAGUCUUUGGGUUUUGGUGUGGGGUGUACAGAUUUUCAGAAUCGAGCAAAGAGCUACAGUCCUUAAAGGGUUAGGGACUGUGCCUCCUGAGAUUACUAAACUCUGAAGUUUACUAAAACCAAAUGUUCUAACAGUCACUGUAGCUGUGCACAUGGAGCAGCUUCUGGAUAAGCAUGAAGAGCCCAGGCGUAGCAUUCAUUUUACUAUGGUCCUUGCGAGACACACGGGUUCAUAUCAUCAUGUCACGCUGCUGUGAAGCUUUCUGAGGAGCGGUAGAAGCCAGAGAGUAGGCCCAGCAGUUAGUAACAGGCACUGCUCUUGCAAAGGACCCAGGCUGGAUUCCAGCACCCUCACUGAAAGAUUCACAACUGCUUGUGACUUCAGCUCCAGAGGAUCUGAGGCCUCUGGCCUUUACAGCACCUCCACUCACACACACACACACACACACACACACACACACACACACACACACCAGGACAUGAUAUCUACAUUUGCCUCUGUAGCUGCAGUUAUAGCCACAGCCACACCUAUAUCUGUCUGUCUGUCUGUCUAUCACCAUUUACAUCUAUCUACCAUCUGUCCAUCUCUAUUAUCUAUCAAUCUCUAUGUAUGUAUCUACCUAUCUGUCUAUCUACCUACCUAUAUACCAGUCUAUCAUUGUUAAAGCCUUAUGAAGCAUCAGACCCUACAGCAAAACAGUGAAUGCUUGAAUUACAUUUAAUUUCUUAACUAACUUUUUAAAGUUUUUUACUUUUUUUUUUUGACAAUUUCACACAUCCACAAAGCGCAUUCUGGUCGCUGUCUACUUACCAGCACUCCCGCCGUUUCUAAUCUCCCCUCCCUCCUUAUUACCCCCACCGCCCUCCUCUCCUGCCGUUUCUAAUCUCCCCUCCCUCCUUAUCACACCCACCGCCCUCCCUGCACAUCUUGCACCCACAUUCAUGUCUUUUUUCUUUCUUUUUUAAAUCCACGGAAUUUAAGCAGCAGCAUCUUUGUGACCUGGGUUUGGAAUUAUCGGUUGGUGCCCGGUGAUCUCCUCAGUCAGUCCAUGACCGAGGCCAAUGACUGCCCUCCCUCAGAAUCCAGCAGUAGCCGUUCAUUCAGAGAUGAACAGAGACUCAUGAGCCCCUUCCUGACCGCUGACUGACAGUCCCAGCGCAGACCCCUGCAGGCAGCCACAGCCACCGGGACGUGACGACCAUUUCCACAGCCCCUUUUCCUAUUUUCUGGCUUACAUCCUUUUCAGGCCCUGUCCCAAGGUAACCCUCGAGCUUUAGAGAUGGUGGUCUAAAAGUCGGCAGUAAGGCUGAGCACCCAGGUUCCUCCUCUUCUCAGCCCCUUGAGCAGCAGUGGGCCUGUGUGGUUUCACUGUCAUUGCAAAGAGAAGCUUCUCAGACAAAGGCUUGGUGUAGCUAUAAAGACAAAUAUUUAAAAGGCAGCUUUUUUUGACCAAGUUUACUACCAAGCAUGAAUUUCCCCUUUAGGAGAAGGCUUCACAUCCAACCUAAUUCUGUUUUCGGGACAGCAUCUAGUUACGUAGCUUAAGCUGGUCUGGAAGUCACUGUAAGUAGACCAAGCUGGUCUCAGCCUCCCAGCAGCCGCCUUGGUUUAGACUUCCAAGUGAGCUGCUACUCCUGACUCUCCCCAUUAUUAAUUAAAGAAGCACUCACCUAAGUGAUAGGUCAUUCACACACAGAGUAUUUGCAAAGGGUGUAAGUGUCCCGUGUGUCUGCUGUUGUGCUGUCUGGUUGGAGCAGGCUGAUUCAGAUUUUGUUCAAACAGUAGCGUGAUGACAGAUUCCAAGUAUUUCUAGGUACAUUUUCUUUGCUCCCUUGUGAGAAAAUACGCUCACAAACACAGAGUGCAUCAAGAGACAGACACAUUACUGUGUAAGCACUAUGAGCUCCAUGACCCAGCCAUCAGGUGGCGUUCUGUGUUCCUGCUCACAUUUAGAGAGCACAGUCUGUUACACACAGUCUUCACAUGAACAUCAUGGAACAACAAAUGAAUAAAUGAACGAGAAUGAAAAUGCUCUCAACAGCGCCCUGUGCAGAGACCUAAGAUAACUAACAGGCACGUGUGAUCUGAAGCUUUUCCUGGUUGUGUGACUAUAUCUAAAAUAAUCAUUAUCAGAGUGAGAACAGACUGAAGAGCUCUGCAGUUUGCGUUUAUUCACUGAAAACAUUUUAGGGAGCUUCUUCUUAGAAUGGUUAAUACAUGCUCAGUAGUAUAUGAGCAUGUGUGGUUUGUAACAUAAAAUGAGGGAUAAAAAGAUCAAAAUGUGGGCAGGGGAGGUUGUAAAUGGUGCCGUGGUGAUUCUAGAAUGGAGAGGUGGGGAGGGAGGAGGACGAGCCUAUGUGUCCCCAUCUCAAAACGGUGAUUUGCCUACGCAAGAGAGCUGGAGUGAGGCUAAAGGAAGAGCCCCUGCUUCCCCUCCCCUGCUAACUGCUCUCUUCCAUUCUCUUUCCAGGCCAAGAGUCAUGGCUUCAGUUUCCUUUUCUUUUUAGAAAAAUAAUUUAUAUAUGAAUAUGAACAAAGAAAAAUAUUCAGAAAAGAAUUAACUGUAAUUAUCAUUAUAUAGAAUAGUCUAGUGAUUUUUAUACUUUUUAUUUGUUGGAAUUUCUGUUAGUAAAGAACAUCAUUUUCAGUUUAAAAAUCAAAUGAACAAGACAGUUUGUAGCCGGGGAAAUCAGCUCUUUGCAGGUCAGUCUGUGGUUGCAGGCAAAGGCAGCUGAGAUGGUCCACAGGAGGAAGCAGGGACUGCGGGCAUGGACUAGUGGGAGAAGGACUUCCGGCACAGGAAAGCAACGUGAGAUCAGCAAGGGAAAAUAAAGGACUUAGGAGAGGAGUGUGACUAAGCAACAGAGCCUCACAACUCCCUGUCAGACAUCCUGCCUUUUCCUGCCACAGAGCAAAGGCCUGAGCUAAGUCAGUAAGAGCCUGUUAAAUGGCUUUUUUCUUUUCCGUUAUAAAUUCCAAAUGAUAGCUUACUUAAUAUUCCUGUUCAGAAUUGGUAAUCUGAGGAUAUAAGUGGAAAUAUUAGUGGAAAGGUUUUUUUUUUUUUUUUUAAUCAUUUGCUGUGAUUCAAAAAUCACACAGGAAUGCUCUCUUACACUGCCUUCGGUGUCCUGUGCAUUUGAUGGCGACUUUGGCUUACGGUGGGCAGAGUUUGGCUAUGGACAUGCUUGCGGCUUUGGUUUCAAUAGAAUUAAUGGGUAAUAUCACCCUUUUCUCCAUAUAAGAAGAGAAAAGUUAUCAGGGAGGCUAUGAGCGAUUACUGGAGACGGGGAGAGAAAGGCUCAGACAGCUGGAUUCAGGAAGCAGCGAUGAGGUCGAGCACGCCGAGGCUGGGCCGGCUCCUGCUUGUCCAGCAUCUCCAUUCCUGUCCCUGACUCAGAGGAUGUCUCGGGGGUUCGCUGUCCUUUCAACUACUGUGCAGAGAGGAAAAUGCUCUUCCUAAUUUCGGUGGAAAACUAGUUUUUAAAUCGAUCUUAAUCUGCACUUUCUUCAUCGUCAGCCUUCCCUGUUUCCCCGAGGGCUGGCCGGACGCUUCCGCUUCCGGUGGGCACAGCACCACCCAUCUGGAGCCCACCGCUCCGCUCCAGGAGCCUCCGGAAGCCCCAUCGCUCCUUUGUCAACGGGUUUCUCUCCUCCUUCCUCGCUUUAUUUACUUUCGCAUGAGCUCACAAAUACCUUUCCUACUUAGAAGCUCACUUGACCCCGCGCCGCUCCCCCACAGCCUCCGCCCCCGGCUGAGGUCAUGCGUUUCUGAACAUGACCACGCGGUCUAGACUUAAGGUUGAGCUGUGUAUUGUCACGUACAGUGUCUCACACCACCAGCGGCUAGCGUGUACCUGCAGGCCCACCAAGGUUGAGCAAGGGAGAUGGUGAUGCACAGUCCAUGCUUGCUCAGUGGACAGAACUGACCCCGAAGGGUGAAAGACAGUUCACUCUUCCAGGUGUUUGCAGUGAGAGAGCUCGCUGGCAGGAGCCAGACCUCAGCUCUCAUAACCAGCAACAGCAGGCAGGGCUCCCCCCUGCUAGUGACCAGGUUCUUUGGUUGUUCUGAACAGCCAUUUCUCCUGUUAAGAAAGCAUUUUGGUUUUCUAGUUGUCAUUUUAUUAUAUAAUUCUCUGAGAAGUAGUUUUUAAGGGAUUUUUAAAAAUAACUGUAGGGGCAGGAAAGAUGACUCAAGUUACGAGCACUUGCUGCUGUCCCAGAGGACCUUGGUUCAGUCUCCAACCCUCCUGUCAGGGCUCACAACCGCUUGCAACUUCAGCUUCAAGGGAAUCCGAUGCCCUCUUCGAGCUUCUGUGGGCUCCUGCACAUACAUGGCACAUGCAUGCACGCACACGCACGCACGCACGCGCGCACACACACACAUGAACGAUAGGUAGAUGAUAGAUAGAUGGUAGAUAGAUGAUAGAGAGAUGGAUGGAUAGAUGGAUGGAGGGAUAGAUAGAGAGACACUAAUGGAGGCAUAUCCUCCAUCAUCAUGGCUGACGGCCACCAUGAAAGUGUUCAGGAGUGUGAGGUGUGGGAGUCUGAGUGAAGUUUCCAUGGUACACAGGACUAUAAACUUUAAAGGCAAACAAAUUAGCCUGUCCCCGAACUCGAGGCUCCUCUGAAUCACUGUUCAGGAAGCCUUCGAGAAAGUGAGCCAGGGCGAGCAGGGAGGUAAGCUUUGUAAGGAGGAGGUAGCCAGAAAGGAGCCAGUUGUCUUAAGUGUGGUAAGUGCAAAGAUGGGGACCAGGGGUCCAGGAGGAACCGGAGGUGGGAAAGCACUUGGACAGGAGAGCUGGGAGGAGGCUGCAGCAACAGGAACAGUGUGAGGAGGGCAGAGCAUUGCUGAGGGGUGGCUCCCCGUGUGGCUCUGGGCUCAUCUGGAGCUGAGACUAACUGGAGAGGCAAGUACCUAAGGAAAGUGACUACUACAGAAAGGGGAGAAGAGGUUAGGCAGGAGCACAUUUUUAGGCUAUGAGGUUAGAGUGCUUCCAAGACACUGUGUAGGACUGAUUAGGCGCUCAGAAAUGCAAGCCAGAAGGUCAAGGCACAGGUGUGAGCCAAGGAGAAGAGUUCAGCUGUCAGCCACUGGGCGUGAUGGUCCAUGGCCUUAGUCCUGGCCCUUUAAUCCCAGAGGCAGGCAAGUCUCUGUGAGUUCAAGGCCAGACUUCUCUACAGGUGAGUCCAGGACAGCUGGGGCUACACAGAGAAACCCUGCCUCCAGAAAUAAAACAAAGAGUUCAAUUGUGUCAAGAGCUGUGGGCUGAUGGCAUUGGUAGUCUACAGCAAAGGGUGUGGUUGCUCUGGGUAGGGCAGAGGAGAAUGCACAGGACAAGAAUGGAACUUUGGAGGAAAACUAGAGGGUAAGAGAAGGCAGUGUAUGAAAGAAGAAAGUCAGGGUGGAGAUAGAACAAAGAGAAGUGCACAGUGGAGAUGUUCCCACACAAGGAAAAGUAAGCGUGUCAGGUGACAUUUGGUAAAUAUUUUGAAUUCUAAAAAUAAAUUGAGACAAUUCAAAGGCUGUCAAUUCUUCAGCCUGUAGCUGUUUGCUGGAGGUAAAGGAAGGAGAAGCCAGACCAAGGUGGAUUGCAAAGAAGAAUGGAGUAGCCAGUAUGUUGGCAUAAACCUUCAGUUCAAUCCUCAGGAGAGGCAGGCAGAUUAUCUGUGAGUGAGCUCCAGCCCAGCCCGGUCUACAUGGCGAAUUCCAGGAGAUCCAGGGUUACAUACUAAGACCGCAUGUCCUAUAACAACAAAACAGAAAGAGAAGAAGGGAAAGAAAAGACAGAAGAAGGCAUCAAGGCUCCAAGGAGGUGUAAAGCUCUGAAAUAAGGGAUAAAGGACAGCCUAAGACAGGGUGGAGGACAGCCUAGACCGGAUGGAGGAGGACAGCCAUCUCCCUCCUCCUCCUCUGUUCUCUCCCCUAAUUCUUGACCCCUCUCCUCCUCAUCUUUUUUUUCCUCUUCCUCUGUCCUCCUCUGUCUCCAUCUCUCUAAUUGUACUCAAUCAUUUCAGACUAAAGAAAGAAGGAGGAGCCCUCCAUUGGGCUCUGGUUUGGCAUGUCAUAAGUGUCUGCUCUUGCCCUGUGAGUUUCUCUGCACGCUCAGGCACACACGCUGACACAGGAGACCCGACUCUGUGACAAGGCACUGCAGAGGAGUCCACUGACAGAGCGAAGUAUGCAGAGCCAUGCCCUCUAGAGAGCCAGAGAAGACCGAAGCGUCCUUGUCUCAGUGUGGAAGGACGUGAUUUUCACUUUGUGAGGCUCCCUUGAGAGCCAAGCAACACCAACAUCACCUCAGGUGGUUUCAGACUACACAGUGAUGAGAAGAGCAGGGAAGGAGCCCACUUCUACACUGGCGGAGGAGGAAAUGUCUCUUCCACGUGUCCACGGUUCAGCUGUGUUGGAAAGAGCUGGCUGGUGGUGGAGGGUCUGAAUCAGUUUAGAGUGGAAGGAGAGCACGCCACGAGUGCGUCACUCAGAACUCAGCGAGCUCCGCCUUGAGGAGGCUCAGACCCCAAGAACUGGGGAGUCCCGCACCCCAGCUCUAGCCCGUGCUCUCCAGUCUGGGGCUGCGGGACCUCUGCUGGAGGUGGUGACCUCUGCAGCAUGUCCUUGGAUCUUUUCCUCCAAUUGCCAGUUUAAGUCUGAAGAAAGGCAGGAAUCUACCAACUCCAGCUUUGUGCCUGGCGCUCCAAAGGAUCGUCUCUCAGAGUUUGACCAGCUGUUGAGGGGAAGUUUCAGAGCACGCAGAAAAGCAUGUCCUGAUGAGCUGCUCAGCAGCAGGCCACAGCUUCCGGUGCUCUCUGCACAGGACAGCUCCUCACAUGCACACAGUGUGCUCAGGGUUAGGGGCUGGCUCUCCUCAGGGCUGUCACUGUGUGUGUGUGUGUGUGUGUGUGUGUGCGUGCACACGUGUGGAAGCUAAGGUCAUCCUUGGGGAUUGUUCCCCAAGGGCCAUCCACCCUGUUUUCUGGGAGCCUCUGGUCUCCCUGGGACCCGGGAGGCGGGCAGGCUAGUGAGCCCACAUAAGAAGCCUCCCUGGCCUCCCUGGCCAUGAACGAGGGCUGUUUAUGUGGGUGUUAGGAUCAAACUCUCCCUUUCCGCCUGAGAAACACUUCUCCCUAACCUAGGAAGUCUCCCCAGUGUGCAGACCCUGGCGCAGGGCUUUUGACUGAGGGCCAAGGGUUGUGAUGACAGGACGGAGUUAAACAAAGAACCUGUGUGCUUUCUGUCUCUCUUCCUCCGGAGCUGUAAGUUUCUUAGUUGUUUUUGUUAUUGACUAAGGCCCAAGUAAUUGACUCAUCUGAUCUGCAGGGGAAGAUGGACAAGUAAUUAAAUGGGAAAAUCCGUGUAAAAGAAACCUUUGCAAAUAAUUGGGAAAUUCUAAGAUACCAUCAAGCACUUUUUCAACAAAAUCAACCUUCCUAAAGACAUACACAUUUCUGCAAGAUUCUUGCCAGAGGCAUAACAGAACUCCUGCCCCAGUCAGCUCCUGGGAGUGGCCCAGCACGCUAGAGACAGAAGAGAGGACAGCGUUCUCUUCUCUGCCGUCUUCCAAGUAGAAGUGUCUUCAGCUCCUCUGUGGACCUUGCCUGGUCUUCACAAGGCGGAGACCCAGGUCAAACAGAACCUACCUGAUUUCCCACAGUUCAACGCCCACAAAAUCCUCUCCACAGCUCCAGUCUGUGAAGCACUCCAGGUGAAAGCCACUGCGUUCAUCCUGCCUCGUACUGGCAGGUGUGGCUGAGCGAACACUGUCCAGGUGUUUCCAGCGAAAAUGAUAGUUACUGUGUUUGCAUCGCAGGAGCUGGCGAGCCUCUCCUGGUUGCCAGCACCGUGGACACUUGAAAAGCCUCGAAAGUUUAUUUCAAGUGAACAGAACUGGGGACAAUCCGUGUUUCUUUCACUCUGCUCCCAGGGGAGCUGUAAGUGCAGUCGGGGCUGAAGAGCGAGCUCUAGCGGCAGCCCUGCUCUCUCUUUGUUCCGUGCACUUAACUCAGGUGUUAGCAAGGCUUUACCCUAUUUUCUUCAGAGUUUAAUUUCCUUUGUGAUUAUUACUUUUAUUUAAUGGCGGGAUAAAAGUAUCCCACGGACUGAAAACAAAUUACAGCCCCCCUUAACAGAAGCAUUGAGAAGUUCUCUAUUAGUUAGCCUUGAGGUUGAGAUGGUGAGGUUGAGAUUGAAAGUUAAAAUUAUUUCAGAUAAAAAGUGCAACGAGGAAACACUUACAUUAGCAAAUGUAAGGAAACGCAGGGCCCUGUCCACAGCCUCAGUGUGUUCUCAUCAAAGGCCCCAGCUUGUAACGGACUAGGAGUGAGGACAGUGUGUGUGUCCACAGUGGCUCUCCAUGUCUUCAGAUGGGGCCUCCCAGAGGUGGCACGAGGUGCCUGCCAGCGUCGCCUACCAUUCCUAAUGGCUCCCCAGAGAACUGGCAGGAUCCUGGCCGCAUUCGGAAGGAAGGCCUCCCAGCCUCACCCGAGGACCACCGUGAACUUCACAGCAAGGCAGAGGGCGAUGGGAAUCCAUCUAAGUGCUAAAUUCGCAAAGAUGUUUUCAUUUCAUGUUUACUAUCCCGCUAUUAGUGUGUGUUUGCUUCUGACACUUCGUUCAUUUUAUAACCCGAUAGCGAAAGGGUUCGAUUUAAUAGUCAUUUCUUAGUCAAGGUGUUGAAAUGCUUGAAAUGUUUGCUUCUUAAACAAGACAGCUUUCUUUCUUUUUAAUCACUUACCUGUUUGUUCAGAAAGCAGCACACAUAUUUUCUGAAACUGGGCUUUGGAAACAGAACACAUUCAUCGGAUCCUCAUAGAUGUGCUUUGAUGUUAUUCAGACCUCUACAUCAUUUGAGCACCUGCACAGACUCAGAGCUCUCUGGACUAAUGAAAUCACUGAGUCUCCUACUUCACAGCUGCGUGCAGUCAGAGCAGCCUUUUCUAGUUUCUCAGAGGGAGGGAAUGGGGUCCAUUUCAAACCGUAAUGUAAAAUAAAGUGUAUUAUACUGGGAACAAUA